UACCUCAAAAUUCCGCAACAGUCUGUUUCAUCAGUAAAGAAUCAUGAUGAUUCUUUACUGAUGAUGAUUCUUUACUGAUGAUUCUUUGCUGAUGAAACAGACUGUUGCGGAAUUU